rnacentral:pre_miRNA from 15 species
AGUGAGAGACCAAGAGAGAGAAUUGUGUCAUUCUUCAAAGUGGUUGUGAAAUGUUUGCUUUUUCUGCCUACUCAUAUCACAGCCAGCUUUGAGGAGCGACACGAUGCUCAGUACAAAAUUCAAAACAU